CUCGUCUCUGCAGUAGCGAAGUGAAGUCUGGGUUUCGAUCUGAAGCUGAAGAUAAGAGAAUUUAGGGUUUCAGGCUGCAAGUGCAGUUUGAGGUUUUGAGGGUUUCGAUCUGAAGAUAUAUUUCUUAAGAGAAACGAUGCUGGUGACCAUUUUCCCUCACUUGCAAUCUGCUUAGGCUUUGAACUGUUAAGUACCGUUAUCAGGGACUGUCGUAAAGCUUUAUCACCCUGAUUGUGUUGGAAAGGUUCCUCAAUUUGCGAAACUGUGGAGCCCUG